UCUCGCAUCUUUUUAUCCUCAUCUGGCUCCCAUCUCUUUCUCCUUCUCCGGCUCUCCUUCCAUCACUGUUAUCAAACAAACAAAACAAAACCCAUAUUUUGUCACUCCCUCAAUAUCACCGUUGUCUGUCUCUUAAAUGUCGUCUGAUUCUUCUCUCCAGCCAUCAAAUUGAAGGUCCGUCUUCACCGAUCGACCAACUUCAAGCCCAAUCGCGAACACAACUCAUCCCCUGGUGAUUCCCAGAGAACAAGGAGAGAAAGAAAUUCAUAAAACACAUCAUUUUAAUCGCAUCACCAUGUUCUCAAUGCCAUCGAUUUGGUGUAAUCCCUAAUCCUUUCAACUACUCAAAUGGAAAGUAGAGGGAAAAUUUUUAGUAGAGCAAUACCAAUAGCAAAUCCUACAGCUACAGAUGUGGUUGUUGAUUUCUAAGAAGGUUUUGGAUUUCUCCCUCAGGGUUUCUCAUAGUACAGAAAAUUCAUCACUUCAAUUUGAUGACAUCAAAAAGUUGAAAGCUCCACCACCAUCUUCAAAGUCGGCUAAAUAUGUUGGAUUUGUAAAGAUGUGGAGCAAAGUAUAGCAUAAGGAGAAAGUUAACUAUGUUGUUUGAUUAAUCUCGGUUUACUUUGUGAAAACUGCCCUAAUUGUUUUAUAAGAUUACAAGUUAUAUUGUUGCACAGAUUCUUAGCUGGUGUGCUCGCAUGGAAGGAUACACAAGUUUUAGUUCCCUCCCUUCAGAUAGAUGAAAUUCUCAUGGACAAACUUUCUGGGACCUUCUCAAAGAUGUUCGUUAGAGAAGGGAUGGUACAAGCUGUGGAGACUCUUAUAGUGUAUGAUUCAUCAAGCUCUGCUCUCCAGGCAUCUCCCGCUAUCUAGAUCAGCAACACGUUCUCGGCGUUGUAGACGACACGUUGCUGGCUCGAAUGCAAGAGGAAAUUCCUUUGAGGAAUCAAAAUAUUCUGCUCCUAUGAAUAUUGGCUCUCCCCCCAGCUACUGUAGAAAUUACAUUGGUUAAUUCUAGUCUUCGUGCGAAGUCUGUGCAAGAGCGAAAGACUUCAAGGUUAAAUAUUUUUCUGCUGACACAGCCACUGAAGUUGGAGUAACUAAUGACCUUUUACGCUUAAUGAAUCUUUGAAAGCAACUGAAUGUCUUAUGCUCUUCGCUUAUUAGAUCGUGGAGCAUUUGGUUGGUGUUAUGUCUGAGCUGCUAGCGGAGCUUAGUAAAGGAGUGGUGUCUCCACAUUUGAGUUCAUCGGUAGUGGAGUAGUGGCAGCUCUCCUCAACUAUUUUUCUUGUGGAACCUUUUCUAAGGACAACUUCUGAAGCAAAUUUGCUGAAGCUGCGCCAACAAGCUCUUAAAAGGUUCAAAUCAUUUGUAGCAGUGGGUCUUCCUACAGGUUUUCAUGAUGGGAAAUAUUUAUUUUGUAAUUAUUCUCUUUGGAACGAUAUAUGCUAGUCACCAAUGAAAAUCUGGUGACGAAUUUGUCAUGUAAAAAAAAUAGCUAAGGAUAGAUAAUUUUGCAAGGAAAUAGUUGUGGUUAGGGCAGUGUUGUGCCGAUAAUGAUUUUCUGAGACGAAUGAAAAUUAUUUUAGAGACAA